GCGGAUGGCUGGAUGGCCGCGGGGGCCUGCCCCCGAGGAAAGUCCGGACUCCACGGAGCAACGGUGCCGGGUAAUGCCCGGCGGGGGCAACCCCAGGGAAAGCGCCACAGAGAACAGACCGCCACCGGGUUCGCCCGGCGGCAAGGGUGAAACGGUGGGGCAAGAGCCCACCGCGGGACUGGUAACAGGACCGGCACGGCAAGCCCCACCGGGAGCAAUGCCGAAUAGGGAUCCCGCGCCGCGCUUGCGGCAGGGCGGCUUCGGCCCAGGGGUCCGGGUUGGCAGCACGAGCGGGUCGGCAACGGCACGCCCAGAGGAAUGGUCAUCCAGCCCCGGAUCACGGUCCGGGGUGGACAGAAUCCGGCUUACAGGCCAUCCGCGCAU
rnacentral:RNase_P_RNA from 1 species